rnacentral:rRNA from 1 species
UACAGAGGGGGCAAGCGUUAUUCGGAAUUAUUGGGCGUAAAGCGCGCGUAGGUGGUUCGUUAAGUUGGAUGUGAAAUCCCCGGGCUCAACCUGGGAACUGCAUUCAAAACUGUCGAGCUAGAGUAUGGUAGAGGGUGGUGGAAUUUCCUGUGUAGCGGUGAAAUGCGUAGAUAUAGGAAGGAACACCAGUGGCGAAGGCGACCACCUGGACUGAUACUGACACUGAGGUGCGAAAGCGUGGGGAGCAAACAGG